rnacentral:misc_RNA from 1 species
UAGUCAGGGAAGACCAACCGAAUGCUAAUUUCAAUUAAAAUACCAUUUAACUACAUGAACCUCCUGAAGCAGCACAAUAAACCCACUGCCUUUGCAGGGUAGCCCUGCGCAUGUGAUCACAAAUACAUCAUCAUAUCCACAGCUGUAACUAAAAUUUACUAUGUCCAAAUCCCAUGUCUAGUUCAUGACCAUAUAUCCCCUGACUAUGGCCAGCCAUUGCAAAAGGAUGAACGGGCUUAGAUUUUGACCUGAGUUCCAUCUCGAUGAGCCUUUGCAGAGCCUCCGGAUGAUAUGUUCCACCACCAACGUCAGGAGCUUGUGUUGGUAUUCCAAUGCCACCAAAGUUGGUUUGCCUUUGACCAAAAGGGAAACCUUGCA